rnacentral:rRNA from 1 species
CCUACGGGAGGCAGCAGUGGGGAAUAUUGCGCAAUGGGCGAAAGCCUGACGCAGCGACGCCGCGUGAGGGAUGAAGGUUUUCUGAUCUUAAAACUCUGUCAGAAGGGGAGAAGUAACAUGGAGCCAAUCAGCUUUGCAUGUACGGUACCUUCAAGGGAAGCACAGGCUAACGCCGUGCCACGAGCUGCGGUGGUACGGAGGGUGCGUGCGUUGAUCGGAAUUACUGGGAGGAAAGGGCGCGUAGGCGGUAUGUCAAGUCAAGGGGGAAAUCACGGGGCUCAACCGUCGAACUGCCUUUGAAACUGGCAAACUGGAGUAUGCGAGAGGAUGGCGGAAUGCCUGGUGUAGGAGUGAAAUGCGUAGAUAUCAGGAGGAACACCGGUGGCGAAGGCGGCCGACUGGCACAAAACUGACGCUGAGGCGCGAAAGCGUGGGUAGCAAACAGGAUUAGAUACCCGUGUAGUC